GAUGAACGCUGGCGGCGUGCCUAAUACAUGCAAGUCGAGCGAACGGACGAGAAGCUUGCUUCUCUGAUGUUAGCGGCGGACGGGUGAGUAACACGUGGAUAACCUACCUAUAAGACUGGGAUAAUUUCGGGAAACCGGAGCUAAUACCGGAUGAUAUUUUGAACCGCAUGGUUCAAAAGUGAAAGACGGUCUUGCUGUCACUUAUAGAUGGAUCCGCGCUGCAUUAGCUAGUUGGUAAGGUAACGGCUUACCAAGGCAACGAUGCAUAGCCGACGUGAGAGGGUGAUCGGCCACACUGGAGCUGAGACACGGUCCAGACUCCUACGGGAGGCAGCAGUAGGGAAUCUUCCGCAAUGGGCGAAAGCCUGACGGAGCAACGCCGCGUGAGUGAUGAAGGUCUUCGGAUCGUAAAACUCUGUUAUUAGGGAAGAACAUAUGUGUAAGUAACUGUGCACAUCUUGACGGUACCUAAUCAGAAAGCCACGGCUAACUACGUG
rnacentral:rRNA from 1 species